GACGAACGCUGGCGGCGUGCUUAACACAUGCAAGUCGAACGGAAAGGCCCUGCUUUUGUGGGGUGCUCGAGUGGCGAACGGGUGAGUAACACGUGAGUAACCUGCCCUUGACUUUGGGAUAACUUCAGGAAACUGGGGCUAAUACCGGAUAGGAGCUCCUGCUGCAUGGUGGGGGUUGGAAAGUUUCGGCGGUUGGGGAUGGACUCGCGGCUUAUCAGCUUGUUGGUGGGGUAGUGGCUUACCAAGGCUUUGACGGGUAGCCGGCCUGAGAGGGUGACCGGCCACAUUGGGACUGAGAUACGGCCCAGACUCCUACGGGAGGCAGCAGUGGGGAAUACUGCACAAUGGGCGGAAGCCUGAUGCAGCAACGCCGCGUGCGGGAUGACGGCCUUCGGGUUGUAAACCGCUUUCGCCUGUGACGAAGCGUGAGUGACGGUAAUGGGUAAAGAAGCACCGGCUAACUACGUGCCAGCAGCCGCGGUGAUACGUAGGGUGCGAGCGUUGUCCGGAUUUAUUGGGCGUAAAGGGCUCGUAGGUGGUUGAUCGCGUCGGAAGUGUAAUCUUGGGGCUUAACCCUGAGCGUGCUUUCGAUACGGGUUGACUUGAGGAAGGUAGGGGAGAAUGGAAUUCCUGGUGGAGCGGUGGAAUGCGCAGAUAUCAGGAGGAACACCAGUGGCGAAGGCGGUUCUCUGGGCCUUUCCUGACGCUGAGGAGCGAAAGCGUGGGGAGCGAACAGGCUUAGAUACCCUGGUAGCCCACGCUGUAAACGGUGGGUACUAGGUGUGGGGUCCAUUCCACGGGUUCCGUGCCGUAGCUAACGCUUUAAGUACCCCGCCUGGGGAGUACGGCCGCAAGGCUAAAACUCAAAGGAAUUGACGGGGCCCCGCACAAGCGGCGGAGCAUGCGGAUUAAUUCGAUGCAACGCGUAGAACCUUACCUGGGUUUGACAUGGAUCGGGAGUGCUCAGAGAUGGGUGUGCCUCUUUUGGGGUCGGUUCACAGGUGGUGCAUGCCUGUCGUCAGCUCGUGUCGUGAGAUGUUGGGUUAAGUCCCGCAACGAGCGCAACCCUUGUUCACUGUUGCCAGCACGUUAUGGUGGGGACUCAGUGGAGACCGCCGGGGUCAACUCGGAGGAAGGUGGGGAUGACGUCAAGUCCUCAUGCCCCUUAUGUCCAGGGCUUCACGCAUGCUACAAUGGCUGGUACAGAGAGUGGCGAGCCUGUGAGGGUGAGCGAAUCUCGGAAAGCCGGUCUCAGUUCGGAUUGGGGUCUGCAACUCGACCUCAUGAAGUCGGAGUCGCUAGUAAUCGCAGAUCAGCAACGCUGCGGUGAAUACGUUCCCGGG
rnacentral:rRNA from 1 species